ensembl:lncRNA
CCUUGCUAGACAACCCACUAAGCUACAAUCCCAAUACCACCACCAAAACCCCAAGACAAACACACCACAAUUACAAAAACCCCAUGCCACACCCUGGCCUGACCAAAUACAUAAAGAUAAACACAAAAUACUUUGACCAGGGCGUGACACUCGCAGUGGUGGGUAGAAUAUGUGCUGUACUGUAUCAGUUACUGUACCUGGAUACUGUACUGUAUCCAGGUACAGUAACUGUAACCCAGUGACUCAUUUACUUCCUCAUCGUAAGCAGCCUGGUAAAAUAAGCAGUGGAGUGGGAAUAAGUUGAAUGAUUAAAUGUAGGGAAAAAUUAUACUGUAUUAUGUCAAGGCUUUCAAUGAUUUCAACCACCGAAAUAUUUAAAUGUUUGACCAUUGAAUUUGGCUACUUGACUUCCUUUAACCUACUUUACUCAUAAUGUGAAUACAAUUUAAAACAUGUUUAAUUGUUUAAAACAUAAUGCAAAUUUUGUUCACAACCAAUAUAGCCUCACUAAAUAUAUCAAGAAAUAUCAAAUGACAAAACUAGAUGCUAAUCCUCAGAUUUGACUAACUCUGACUGACAAAUGCACAAACUGUGAACAUAUGUUUGAAUACAAAAUGAAAUUUCUCAGGCAAAAGAAAGUGUGCAGGAGGGGACAUAUGCAAUUUCAAAUCCUCUUUAUUGCAUUGCAGAUAGACAUACAGCAAAUAUAUUAAAGGGAAACUCAAGCAAAAUAUGGAAGACAGCUAUUACAGUACUUAUUGUCAGUUAAUGUUCUGGUCAUUUCAUCAACCAUAGCUUGCUCUUUUGAAGUUUCUGAUUCAUGUCCUUUCUCAGCGACCAGCUGGAGCUGGGGCUGGAGCUGGGGCAGGAGCUGGGGCUGGAGCUGGGGCAGGAGCUGGGGCUGGAGCUGGAGCUGGGGCUGGAGCUGGGGCUGGUGCUGCAGGGGCUGGGACAAGACCAAGUCUUUGCAGAAGCAGAAGGUACUGCUGGUACUGGUACUGGUACUGGUACUGCUGCAGAAAGUUUGGAAAGCCACGGCCAGGGCCAGGGCCACGGACACGCU